AUUGAACGCUAGCGGGCUGCUUUACACAUGCCAGUCCAACGAGUGGCGUACGGGUGAGUACUAUAUCGGAACGUGCCCAGUAGCGGGGGAUAACUUCUCGAAAGCGGGGCUUCUACCACAUACUAUUGGAGCGUCCGAUAUCGGAUUCACCAGGUGGUGGGGUAAAGAAGUACCAAGGCAACGAUCCGUAGCUGGUUUGAGAGGUAGACCAGCCACACUGGGACUGAGACACGGCACAGACUCCUACGUGAGGAAGCAGUGGGGAAUUUUGGACAAGGGGGGAAACCCUGAUCCAGCCAUCCCGCGUGUAUGAGAAGGCCUUCGGGUUGUAAAGUACUAUUGGCAGAGAAGCGGUAUCUGCAGAAUAAGCACCGGCUAACUACGUGACAGCAGCCGCGGUAAUUC
rnacentral:rRNA from 1 species